CUAUGUUAUUAUCUCCACCACUUUGUGGAAGAGGAAACAAAGUUCAGACUUACCAAGAGCCAUAGGGCUCAUGUCUGCCAUUAUAUUGGCUUAGUUUGUUUUAGUAAUAACUUCUUUCUUUCUUCCUUUCUUCCUUCCUUCCUUUCUUUCUUUCUUUCUUGAUUGCUUGCUUUCUCUUUCCUUCUUUCUUCCUUCCUUUCUUCCUUCCUUUCUUCCUUCCUUCCUUCUUUCUCCCUUCCUCUUUCUUUCUUUCUUUCUUUCUUUCUUUCUUUCUUUCUUUCUUUCUUUCUUUCUUUCUUUCUUUCUUUCUUUCUUUCUUCCUUCCUUCCUUCCUUCCUUUCUUUCUCUCUUUCUUUUGUUCCUUCCUUCCUUCCUUCCUUCCUUCCUUCCUUCCUUCCUUCCCUUUCCUUCCUUCCUUCCUUCCUUCCUUCCUUCUUUCUCAAAGGGAAUGAGAGAGGCAGGAGAUAGAAAUUAAAUGCUGUCUCUAAAAAAUACACUC
rnacentral:lncRNA from 1 species